UCUGUGGGGAAAGUGCCUCGACUUUCAGACCAGUCGUGGGUGUGGUUCAGAGAAGUCAGUGAGGAGAAUCUGAAGGUUCCUAAGGGUGAGCUUGAGGCAGGCUAGCAGCAAAGCCAGAGUGUCCCACCUCUUGGGGUAGGAGGGCCUGGGGAGACUGCGGGGUGGCGUUGGGGAGGGGCUAGCCAGCGAGGAGUUGUCCCUUCUUCCAGGAGGGGCUCCCCAAGGGAAGGGUUGACUCGAUCUGGAGGAGAGGGGCUAUGUGGGGCGUCCGCCCUUCCGGGGAAGGGGCUCGACGGCGGGGGCGGGGCCGCAGGGUGGGGCCCCAUCCUCCUCGCGCUCCCCCGCGACGCGGGCGGGCAGGGGCGGGGACGGAGGCGGUGGGCGCCCGCGGCCGGCCCACAAUGAGGACAGCGGGCCGCGGUGAGUAAGCGGCGGCCGCCCGGGCCGGGCCACGCGGGGCGGAGGCUUCGCGGGCAGGUCGGGGCAGGCUGGCCGGGCGGGGUCGGGAGCCGAGUCCGCAGCCCUAGCCGCGCCAGAGCGGAGCGAAGACACCGAGGCCCCGCCCCGGCCGCCGGUGGCGCCCCGACCUCCGAGCCGCGCCGCAGACACAGCCGGAAACUGGCCCUGCCGGAGCGCAAGCGGCAGCCCAGUGCCACCUGACCCCGAGUCGGAGCCACACGAACCGGAGCCCAAGUCCGAGCCCCAGUCCGGGCCGUCUCCGAGCCGGGCCUGCCAUGGCGGGGCCGCGGGGCGCUCUCCUGGCCUGGUGUCGCCGCCAGUGCGAGGGCUACCGCGGCGUGGACAUCCGCGACCUGAGCAGCUCCUUCCGGGACGGCCUGGCUUUCUGCGCCAUCCUGCACCGGCACCGGCCCGACCUGCUCGACUUCCAAUCUCUCUCCAAGGAAAAUGUCUUCGAGAAUAAUCGAUUGGCCUUUGAAGUGGCUGAAAAGGAACUGGGCAUCCCUGCUCUCUUGGACCCCAAUGACAUGGUCUCCAUGAGUGUCCCUGACUGUCUCAGCAUCAUGACCUAUGUGUCCCAGUACUACAACCACUUCACCAGUUCUGGCCAAGCUGCUGCCUCACCACCCAAACCAGGAAAGGACCCAGCACCCCCCUCCCCCACAUCCACAUCACCCGCUGUGCAGCCAGGAGAGGAGGCUCAGGGUGACGACCUCUCCCCAGACAGCCUGUCCGAGCAGGGCAAACAGCAGCCCCCGAGCAGCGCAUGCGCAGCCUGUGGGCAGCGGGUGCACCUGGUGCAGCGGUACUUGGCGGAGGGCAGACUCUACCACCGGCACUGCUUCCGAUGUCGGCAGUGUUCCAGCACGCUGGUCCCAGGCUCUUACAGUAGUGGGCCCGAAGAAGGCACCUUUGUGUGUGCAGAACGCUGCACCAGGCUGGGUCCGGGAAGUCGGUCAGGAACUAGGCUCCUUUCACAGCAAAGGCAGCAGCCAGCGGCGGCAGAAGCUAAAGAUGCAGAGGAUAAUGACCCAAGCCUGAGUGUGGCUGCAGUGGCUGAGGCAGACAGGCUCCAGGCCAGCUCCGAGGUACAGUUCCACACCCCAACCAAGCCACCUCUUCCCAGCAAGCCCCAGGAACUGGCCAGUCCCCCUGGUGGCCGGCCCACACCUGCCCCCAGGAAGGCUUCCGAGAGUUCAGCCUUAACUCCCCCAACGCCAAGGCCUCGGUCUAGCCUGCAGCAAGAUGGCACGGUGGAGCAGAGUGUCAGCAGUGGCCUUGUGAACGGAAGACUACAGGAACCGCCUGUUCCCAAGCCAAGAGGGACACCCAAGCUGUCAGAGAGACCGAAUCUUCCUAGAGGGAAGGCUGACCCCUUGCCUUGGCCUCCCUCUAGGAUGGCAGCGCCAAGGAAGGAUCCCCCAUGGAUCACAUUGGUGCAGACAGAGCCAAAGAAGAAGCCAGCCCCCCAGCCGCCCAGCAGUGGUCCUGGGCCACUGAGUCAGGCCUAUAGGCAGGUGGAGGACGGAGGCCUGGAGGAGCAGACCCAGAAAAGCUCGGGAACUGAGCCAGAGCCCAAGCCCUACAACCCCUUUGAGGAAGAAGAGGAAGAAGAAGGAGAGCCAGCCCCACCAGUACCCAGCCCAUCUCUAGCCCCACCAGUACCCAGCCCAUCUCCAGCCCCACCAGUACCCAGCCCUGCGCCUGCCCCGUCAGAGGCCACCCCCAAGUCCCUGCACCCCUGGUACGGCAUCACUCCUACCAGCAGCCCCAAGACAAAGAAGCGCCCUGCCCCGAGAGCACCCAGUGCUUCCCCACUUGCUAUCCACGCCUCCCGCCUGUCACACUCAGAACCUCCUUCAGCUACGCCAUCACCAGCCCUUAGCGUGGAGAGUCUGUCAUCCGAGAGCUCCAGUCACACUGCCAAUGCAGAGCCUUUGGAGCCGCCUGCCGUACCCAAGAGCUCCUCGGAUCCUGCUGUGCACGUGCCUGGUACCCCUGGCACCUCUGGGAACUCUGUCACCCCCUCAGCCAACUCUUCCCUGUCGUCUUCUGGGGAGCUAGGGCAGCCUAGUGGUGAACAAAUGCUGCAGGCCAGGACGAAGGGCAGCGCGGGUACCCAUUCUACCAAGCCCUUCAGUGGUGCCACCCCCACCCCCUUCUUGUUGGCUGGAGACCGGAACCCUGCCCCUCCCGUGGGGAGCGCAUCCCCACAGCUGCAAAUCAAGUCUUCCUGCAAGGAGAAUCCUUUCAACCGGAAACCAUCUCCCUCCGCGUCUCCAACUGUAAGGAAGGCCACCAAAGGAGCCAAGCCUGUGAGGCCACCUGCCCCCGGACACGGCUUUCCACUCAUCAAACGCAAGGUCCAGGCUGACCAGUACAUUCCCGAGGAGGACAUCUACGGUGAGAUGGACAAUAUUGAGCGCCAGCUGGAUGCCCUGGAACACAGUGGGGUUCUGUUGGAGGAGAAGCUGCGUGGCGGAGCAAAUGAGGGCAGCGAGGACGACAUGCUGGUGGACUGGUUCAAACUCAUCCAUGAGAAGCACCUACUAGUGCGGCGAGAGUCGGAGCUCAUCUAUGUCUUCAAGCAGCAGAACCUGGAGCAGCGCCAGGCUGAUGUGGAGUUCGAGCUCCGGUGCCUUCUCAACAAGCCAGGAGCUGCUAGCCCUGUCUCUGCCCCACGCCUGUCCUCAGACUGGUUCUUACCGUCUGUCUCUGUGACUGAAGUAUUACCUCUUCAUUCACCCGGGAACUUGGAAGGCUGGAAUGGCCCCAAGUCACAGAAUGUCCUUGGCUCCUUUUGCCAACUAAAAGGACUGGACAGAUGAGGAUCGGGCCAGAGAGAAGGUGCUGAUGCAGGAACUCAUGACCCUCAUCGAGCAGCGAGAUGCCAUCGUGAACUGCCUGGACGAGGACCGGCAGAGGGAAGAGGAGGAAGACAAGAUGUUGGAAACUAUGAUCAAGAAGAAAGAUUUCCAAAGAGAGGCCGAGUCUGACAGUAAGAAGAAAGGCAAGUUCAAGACCAUAAAGGUGCUGAAGUUUCUGGGGAAUAAACGAGAAGCCAAGAGCAAGGCCCCAGGGGACAAGAGCUGACAGCGAAGGAAGCCACCUUCCUUUCCUCUCCUGGAGCCUUGAGGCCACAGCAGCACUCUGCUGCCGGGGGACCUGCCAAGGGGGACGAUGACCGUGGGAGGGAGUCUCUGGGUGACUUUUCCCCUCCUCCAUGGUCUCCAGCUGGUCUGGGCUAAAGAUUUUUCCUUCUUCCCUGUGUCCCAACCAGUUGUGACUUAGCCCUGCCCACUUGGAUUCUGUCCCCAGAUGCUGUGGCCAGCCUGGAGCAAGCAGGGAUGCAGGCUCCAGGCAGAGGCCGUGGCUCUCCUUGUUCUCCCUGAACCAGGUCAGAUGGGGUCCUCACCACAGUCCUUCUCACAGCAGGCCCUGGUUAAGGGCUCGAGUACUUUGCAGCAGGCCAGCAGCAAGGUUGGCUGCCUAGCUUCUGCCUUCCCAGCUCUGACCCCUAGUCCCUGCCUUCCUGUCUAGCGCAUAUGUCCUUGAAACUCAUGUCACCUCACUCAGGAGCUGUAUUUAUGAGGGUUGCAAGUCCAGCCCCUCAGAGCGCUCUGUGCUGUGUCAGAAGGGAAUGGGCUGAAGACAGUUCCGUUUCCUCUCCCUCAUCUCCUUUGCUCUGUGGGAACCCAGGAUUACCACACAGGGAGCUGCUGGCUGAGCUGGGGCACUGACUCAGGUCAGCCUGGAAGGGAUGCUUUGGGUGGGUGUUCUCUCAGUCAGGCUUUCUGUCUUCCCCACGUCCGGGGAUGAUGGGCCCAUUCCUUUUUGUGGUCUGGGCAGUCUGUCACUGGGGACUGUGCCAGGCAGCUUAUGGUCUAAGCACUGUUCUUACACUCGGGGACUUCAGAGUCCCUCCCUUUGUGCAUCCUGGGAAGGAACUCACUGUAUCUCAGUUGCCAGUGCCCCUUGGUAGUCUCUCCAGAUUCACUUGCUGUCCUGGAACCAGGGCCACCACCUCAGAGGUCUUUCAGAGGAGCCCUAUGACCCAGUUGCUGUAACCCAGGAGAGGGCUCUACCAGGCUGUCUCUGUGUCAAGGAAAGUUUGUAUCUCAGUGAACAGGACAACCUUUCUCAUAGUCACCUGUGUCCUGUCAACAUGGGCCCAUCAGAAGACAUCCAGAAUCCAGUUCUCCUACAGGCACAAGUUGUAAAUGCUGACAUCAAAGUUGAGUUUGUCACAGUGGGCUACACUUGUCCUGGGUUUUCCAUUGUGCUAGGCCUGCACAUUAGAGGGCUUGCCCCGACUGAUUGAACCCUUAUCUGCUGGCUGCUGCAGAGUAGUCAUGUUUAUUCUAUUAGGACAAGAACACAGGUCAUAUGUUCUAAUAGAGUUAUGGGAAACUUCCAGCAGGUGCAGGAAAUAUUUAUGGGGACAGGGAAAUGAAAAUAUUGGUGAAGGUCAGGCUGCUUAGUGUCAACAGCCCAAAGAAAGGACACUGAUGUGCAGUGUACCAGGUGGGGUACCAGGUGGGGUCCAAGUUAGAUUCUCAUCUGUGCUGGACAAGUUCUGAUUCCGAACACAUAAGUGUUAUCCCUGGGGAAACAAGGUGGCACAUGUCAGGGGCAAGUGAAAUGUGUUUUAUUGGCCAGUUAAUUGUUGUGGUUAAACAUUUGCCCAAGGCUACAAGAAGGCAAAGACUUAGAUCCUAAGGGAAAGAUCUAAGGGAGGAAAGAGUCAUGUUUAAUUUUUGGUUCAGAAAGGCAAAACAGAGCACCUGAGGCCAGCUGUGACAUCAGGAGAGCCACAGAGAGGGUGCCCUUAGGCACAUGUCCAAGGUGGGUGAGCCUGGGCAUCGCCAUGGUGUGCCUGGGGCUUUUCCCUAGAGAAAGAAACACAGUAGCUAUGACACUACUCUGCGGCUUCUGCAUCCCCAGGCAGUGACUAGGACACUGUUUCAUGCCACAGGACAAAGCCAUGUCAUGAUCUGGCGUGGCCCAGCCCCCAUGGGUGGGCAGGCCUGGGAUGGGUGCUGUGUGGCAGAGUGAAGGGCACUGGUUCUGGCUGUUGUGCCGGGUUGGCAGUCUCACUGGGUGAGCCCGCCCUUGUCUUGGGUUAAGUGGUGGCGAGGGCUUUCCUCAGCUCCUUGCUCCUCCUGCGAUCAAUGUCCUCCAUUUCCCGUAGUUUCUGCAGAGAGCCACCAGAAAGAGCUGCUGUCAUGGCAGGCAGGACACCCUAGACAUCUAGCUAACUGUCCUGGUGCUGGCUGGGGCUCCUCCCCUUUGCUUCCACCCUCCCCUUGGGUGGGCUCUCCUACCUGGGAGAUCUCAGCCAGGAUGAUGCUGCGGUACUGCCUGCCCUGCCCCAGAGCCUCCAUGGCAGCCAAGAAUUCUUUCCUGUCUUGGAUUUCUUUCACCACUGCACAGAGGAGAGGGGCUGUCAAUGCACAGGGUAGGCGUGCAUAGAGCCCCAGCCAUGCAUGGUCUCUGAGGGACACCGGUGGGACAUGUCUAUCAAGCCAUGUCACUCUUGUUAGCCCCAUCAGUUCUACACACACACACACACACACACACACACACACACACACACACGGUGGCUCACGUUCAUCAAACCGGUCCAGCUCUGGAGCUGGGUCUUCUUGCCGCACGUGGGGAACCUUUUUCCGUUCCUCCUUGUCCUUCCCAGUGGCAAAGAUAUUUUGGAGUCUUCGUUUCUCUUUCUCCAGAUCUCCUGUGGGGCCCAGAAAUGAUUUUGCUAAUGUGUAGAGCAAGGCCUGUUCCCGUGUUCCCAUCGGCUGUGUGCACUGCGGGUGUCUCGUUUAUGAGGAGUGGGCCUCUGCAGAUCCCACACUUCUUUGGCUGUUUCUGAGCAGAGCGUGUUAGGCUAGCAGUGGAAACAACCGAGAACAAGCACCAGUGCAGAACUAAUGAGUAACCCAGAACCGCAGGCCACCCAAGUGGCCUGUGUGUAAGGAACUGGGGGGAGAGGAGGGUGUUAGUGGGUCUGGGCCAAAGGCAGUGUUAGAAGAGGAGGGGCUCCCAGAUGUGGACUCAGAUGCAUAGGAGAUGGACUUGAGGGAACAGGAGGAUAAGCAGCUGACAGCCACAUGUCCCUCUGAGAUUGGGAAAACUGGAUUAAUUUGAAAAAAGUUAUAGGAAGAUAAAGAGGGCCACCUGACUGGUUUCCUGCCCGGGUUUGUUACCAGCUUGCUUGAAUGAUGCUGUCCCAGGCUGAUGUGACCCCCGAAAAGAGCCCUAAGCCCAGCACUUACUGGUGGCCUGAGGCUUGAAUUGUUCACGACUGUACGCCCCAUUGGCUUGGCACAAGCUGGCAGGCCUGAGGUGAGAGUGGGUGGCCAGAAUGGGAGGCAGGUAGAUGGCUGAGGCUGCCUUCUUGGAGGGAGAGCCCCUCAGGCUGGAUGUAGGGUUGCACUGCAGGGGCAGAGGGGCUCCUCCUGGGAACACAAGGAGCAAGUGGGGCCACCUGUUGGGCUUGCUUCUCAGAGGAAAUAAGGUAGCUGCUUAUUAGGUGGUUGCUCCUUGUUCUUGAUGCUUCUAGAACAUAUCCAAGGGUGUUUUCCUUUGGUCUGCGCACACUCGGUUCUUACACUGGAUCAUACCAUGUGGUCAAUAACAGAUCCUUUUCUCACCCGUUUAUCAAGGCCAACUUCCUAUAAGCACAUUCAUACGUAACUUAUUUUUUGAUAGCUAUGUACUAGUGGUUAGAAUGGUUACAUUAUUUAUUCAGCUAGUGUACUUCUGGACAGUCUGAUCGUCUCUGGGUAUUUUGUUUCUUUUUUUGUUGUUGGCUGGAUUUUUACUACUUCCGACAAUGCUGCAAUAAACAAACAUUCUUAUACACUGAA